rnacentral:rRNA from 1 species
GACGAACGCUGGCGGCGUGCUUAACACAUGCAAGUCGAACGGAAAGGCCUCUUUCGGGGGGUACUCGAGUGGCGAACGGGUGAGUAACACGUGAGUAACCUGCCCUUGACUUUGGGAUAACUUCAGGAAACUGGGGCUAAUACCGGAUAGGAGCUCCUGCUGCCUGGUGGGGGUUGGAAAGUUUCGGCGGUUGGGGCUGGACUCGCGGCUUAUCAGCUUGUUGGUGGGGUAGUGGCUUACCAAGGCUUUGGCGGGUAGCCGGCCUGAGAGGGUGACCGGCGUCAUGGGGCCUGAGGUAGGCACCAGCCGCCAAUGGGGGGCAAUGGGGGGAAAAUUUGCACAAGGGGGGGGAGCCUGUGGCGAAAACGCCGGGGUUGGAAAGCCGGCUUUUGGGUUAAAAACCGCUUUCGCUUAAUACCACGCUUUUUUGACGGUAAGUGGAUAAAAAGCCCCGGCUAACUUCGUG